CGGGACACGUGGUAUCCUGUCUGAAUAUGGGGGGACCAUCCUCCAAGGCUAAAUACUCCUGACUGACCGAUAGUGAACCAGUACCGUGAGGGAAAGGCGAAAAGAACCCCGGCGAGGGGAGUGAAAAAGAACCUGAAACCGUGUACGUACAAGCAGUGGGAGCACAGAGCAAUCUGUGUGACUGCGUACCUUUUGUAUAAUGGGUCAGCGACUUAUAUUCUGUAGCAAGGUUAACCGAAUAGGGGAGCCGAAGGGAAACCGAGUCUUAACUGGGCGUUAAGUUGCAGGGUAUAGACCCGAAACCCGGUGAUCUAGCCAUGGGCAGGUUGAAGGUUGGGUAACACUAACUGGAGGACCGAACCGACUAAUGUUGAAAAAUUAGCGGAUGACUUGUGGCUGGGGGUGAAAGGCCAAUCAAACCGGGAGAUAGCUGGUUCUCCCCGAAAGCUAUUUAGGUAGCGCCUCGUGAAUUCAUCUCCGGGGGUAGAGCACUGUUUCGGCAAGGGGGUCAUCCCGACUUACCAACCCGAUGCAAACUGCGAAUACCGGAGAAUGUUAUCACGGGAGACACACGGCGGGUGCUAACGUCCGUCGUGAAGAGGGAAACAACCCAGACCGCCAGCUAAGGUCCCAAAGUCAUGGUUAAGUGGGAAACGAUGUGGGAAGGCCCAGACAGCCAGGAUGUUGGCUUAGAAGCAGCCAUCAUUUAAAGAAAGCGUAAUAGCUCACUGGUCGAGUCGGCCUGCGCGGAAGAUGUAACGGGGCUAAACCAUGCACCGAAGCUGCGGCAGCGACGCUUAUGCGUUGUUGGGUAGGGGAGCGUUCUGUAAGCCUGCGAAGGUGUGCUGUGAGGCAUGCUGGAGGUAUCAGAAGUGCGAAUGCUGACAUAAGUAACGAUAAAGCGGGUGAAAAGCCCGCUCGCCGGAAGACCAAGGGUUCCUGUCCAACGUUAAUCGGGGCAGGGUGAGUCGACCCCUAAGGCGAGGCCGAAAGGCGUAGUCGAUGGGAAACAGGUUAAUAUUCCUGUACUUGGUGUUACUGCGAAGGGGGGACGGAGAAGGCUAUGUUGGCCGGGCGACGGUUGUCCCGGUUUAAGCGUGUAGGCUGGU
rnacentral:rRNA from 1 species